GAUGAACGCUGGCGGUGUGCCUAAUACAUGCAAGUCGAGCGAACAGACGAGGAGCUUGCUCCUCUGACGUUAGCGGCGGACGGGUGAGUAACACGUGGAUAACCUACCUAUAAGACUGGGAUAACUUCGGGAAACCGGAGCUAAUACCGGAUAAUAUAUUGAACCGCAUGGUUCAAUAGUGAAAGACGGUUUUGCUGUCACUUAUAGAUGGAUCCGCGCCGCAUUAGCUAGUUGGUAAGGUAACGGCUUACCAAGGCAACGAUGCGUAGCCGACCUGAGAGGGUGAUCGGCCACACUGGAACUGAGACACGGUCCCGACUCCGACGGGAGGCAGCAGUAGGGAAUCUUCCGCAAUGGGCGAAAGCCUGACGGAGCAACGCCGCGUGAGUGAUGAAGGUCUUCGGAUCGUAAAACUCUGUUAUUAGUGAAGAACAAAUGUGUAAGUAACUAUGCACGUCUUGACGGUACCUAAUCAGAAAGCCACGGCUAACUACGUG
rnacentral:rRNA from 1 species